GCUAACUACACCUGGUACAAGGAGAAUGAAGACUCACCAAAAGCUUCAGGACAGAUCUUCACCAUCACUGACUUCAGACCUGAACACAGAGGGAGUUAUUACUGUGAAGCCCAGAACAGAAGAGGACGUCAUAACUCCACCUUACACCUGGUUGGUGUCACAGGAAAAUUACCAGUAAAACUGAAUGUCAUCAGGUUAACUUUGAUGGUGCUGGUUCCUCUGCUUCUUUUGAUUCUGUGUAUGAGGAAGAAGAAACUCUUCAGCUGUGGGACUGAACCCAAUGAACCUGUGGAGGCUGUAGAGGUGAAAGAGAUCAGAGCAUGUGACCAGAACUGAUUAUUAACCAUGUGCUGAACUGUAGAUGUGAACCACAGAACAAAUCCAUAAUGCUAACAGAUGAAUUAAUGAACAUACAAAUCAGUUGAAUGCUAACACGGAUGCUAACAGACGAAUGCUAAUAUGGAUGCUAACAUGGAUCCAUGCUAAUACAGAUGCUUACACAAGUCAAUGCUAAUACGGACGCUAACACGGACGCUAAUACACGAAUGCUAUCAUAUGAAGGCUAACAGUGCAAUGCUGAAAGACGAAUACUAACACAGACUGUUCACAGACAAAAUGCUAACACGGAUGCUAACAGAAGAAUUCUAUCAGAUGAAGACUAACAGACGGAUGCUAACAGAUGAAUUAAUAAACAUACAAAUCAGUUGAAUGCUAACACGGAUGCUAACAGGCGCAUUCCAAUCCAGAUGCUAACAGACGGAUGCUAACACGGAUGUAUGUUAAUAUGGAUGCUAACACGGACACUAAUACACGAAUGCUAACACAGAUGCUUAUUCACGAAUGCUAUCAAAUUAAAGCUAACAGUCGAAUGCUAACAGACGAAUGCCAACACGGAUGCUAACAGAAGAAUGCUAUCAGAUGAAUGACUUAACAUACAAAUCAGUUGAAUGCUAAGACGGAUGCUAACAGACUAAUGCUCAGAGAUGAAUGCUAACAGACAACUGCUAACACGGUUGCUAACACAAGAAUGCUAUCAAUGUUAACAGAUGAAUUAAUGAACAUACAAAUCAGUUGAAUGCUAACACAGAAGCUAACAGGCGGAUUCCAACCCAGAUGCUAACAGACGAAUGCUAAUACGGAUGCUAACAGAUGACUGCCAAUAUGGAUGCUAACACGAAUCGAUGCUAAUACGGAUGCUAACAUGGGCGCUAAUACACGAAUGCUAUCAGAUGAAGGCUAACAGACGAAUGCUAACAGAUGAAUUAAUGAACAUACAAAUCAGCUGAAUGCUAACACGUAUGCUAACAGGUGGAUUCCAACCCAGGUGCAAACGGACGAAUGCUGAUAAGGAUGCUAACAGAUGAAUGCUAAAACGGAUCCAUGCUAAUACAGAUGCUAACAUGGGCAAUAAUACACGAAUGCUAUCAGAAGAAUGCUAACAAACGAAUGCUAACAGAUGAAUUAAUGAACAUACAAAUCAGUUGAAUGCUAACAUGAUUGCUAACAGACGAAUGCUAAUACGGAUGCUAACAGACGAAUGCUAAUACGGACGCUAACACGGACGCUAAUACACGAAUGCUAUCAUAUGAAGGCUAACAGUGCAAUGCUGACAGACGAAUACUAACACAGACUGUUCACAGACGAAGGCUAACAGGUGGAUGCUAACACGGAAGUAUGUUAAUAUGGAUGCUAACACGGACAGUAAUACACGAAUGCUAACACAGAUGCUUAUUCACGAAUGCUAUCAGAUUAAAGCUAACAGUCGAAUGCUAACAGAAAAAAGGCCAACACGGAUGCUAACAGAAGAAUGCUAUCAGAUGAAGGCUAACAGACCAAUGCUAACAGAUGAAUGACUGAACAUACAAAUCAGUUGAAUGCUAAGACGGAUGCUAACAGACUAAUGCUCAGAGAUGAAUGCUAACUGAUCAGUUGCUAACACGGUUGCUAACACAAGAAUGCUAUCAAUGCUAACAGAUGAAUUAAUAAACAUACAAAUCAGUUGAAUGCUAACACAGAAGCUAACAGGCGGAUUCCAACCCAGAUGCUAACAGAAGAAUGCUAAUACGGAUGCUAACAGAUGACUGCCAAUAUGGAUGCUAACAUGGAUCCAUGCUAAUACGGAUGCUAGCAUGGGCGCUAAUACACGAAUGCUAUCAGAUGAAGGCUAACAAACAUAUGCUAACAGAUGAAUUAAUGAACAUACCAGUUGAAUGCUAAUACGGAUGCUAACAGAUGAAUGCAAAUACAGAUGCGAACAUGGGUCCAUGCUAAUACAGAUGCUAUAACAAAUAAAUGCUAAUACGGAUGCUAACACGGACGUUAAUACACGAAUGCUAUCAGAUGAAGGCUAACAGUGCAAUGCUGAAAGACGAAUACUAAUACAGACUGUUCACAGACGAAUGCUAACACGGAUGCUAACAGUCGGAUUCCAAGACAGAUGCUAACAGGCGGAUGCUAACACGGACACUAAUACACGAAUGUGUGUCUUCUCCCUCAAUCAAUGCACACCUGUGGCAUUUAACUCCACCCCCCCUCACCUGUGACCUCUGACCUCUUAUUUCCUGUGCAGGUAGAAAUGUUAUCGCCAUCUAGGGGCCACCACUACAAAUACCAUUCAACUAAAUAGUGAAAACAUAAACACUUAUAUCACUUAUUAACAUAAAAUAAACACUGAAUGUGAGAUUAAAUGGCUCCUACAUUUGGGUUCACACCAAAAUCUUAUUACCUGUAAAAUUAUUGCCUGGAUUAUUCUGAAAAAUGUUGCAACAUUGUUGUAUGCAAAUAUAAUAUUACCACAAUUUAAAAGGACUAGAAAAUGUAACGUUAAACUUUGAACACUACAAGGCCUGUGUCAGACUCUUCUGCUGGAUUGUCUCAUCAAGAGCUUCAUCUUCCUCCAUGUAAACAGGGCUCAGAGAACACAGACAGACAGAGAUGGCAGAAAGUUGAACAGAAAACACAAGGCUGUCAACUUAAGGGACUAUUUGAUUUGAAAAGAAAAAGAAAAAACAAAUAUGCAACAAAAAAGAACCAAAUGCAAAAUGCUGAGAUCCUGGAAUAAAGACAGGAGACGGUCAUUUGUUCAUGUGUGACAAACAGCAGCUUUAUUCAUCAUGUGAAGCUUCAGUUUGUUCUCCCAUUAAAUCAGUAAAGUCUGA